rnacentral:rRNA from 1 species
CGGUAGCAGGAAGUGCUUGCACUUUGCUGACGAGUGGCGGACGGGUGAGUAAUACUUAGGAACAUGCCUUUGUGUGGGGGAUAACCAUUGGAAACGAUGGCUAAUACCGCAUAAUGUCUUUGGACCAAAGAGGGCUUUCGGGCUCUCGCGCAAAGAGUGGCCUAAGUGAGAUUAGCUUGUUGGUGAGGUAAAGGCUCACCAAGGCGACGAUCUCUAGCUGUUCUGAGAGGAAGAUCAGCCACACUGGGACUGAGACACGGCCCAGACUCCUACGGGAGGCAGCAGUGGGGAAUAUUGCACAAUGGGGGCAACCCUGAUGCAGCCAUGCCGCGUGUGUGAAGAAGGCCUUCGGGUUGUAAAGCACUUUCAGUUGUGAGGAAAGGUUGGUGGUUAAUACCCAUCAGCUGUGACGUUAGCAACAGAAGAAGCACCGGCUAACUCCGUGCCAGCAGCCGCGGUAAUACGGAGGGUGCGAGCGUUAAUCGGAAUUACUGGGCGUAAAGCGCACGCAGGCGGUUAUAUAAGCUAGAUGUGAAAGCCCCGGGCUCAACCUGGGAAUAGCAUUUAGAACUGGCAGGCUAGAGUUUUGGAGAGGGGAGUGGAAUUCCAGGUGUAGCG